AGGAGUGGGUAAGGACAGAGUCAUUAAUAACUAGACUGUUUCUGAAUGUAUGAAUGAAUGGUCUAAGGUCUCCCAUCAACACUUUGUAUAUGAUUUAGUUCAUGGAUGGGUAACAAUGUUACAGAAAACCCAUUGACAUAAAUACAUCAAUAAUAAGUAUGUGUAUUGGUAUUGCAGUGGAACAUGGAUCAUGCUACUGAAGCUGCUUGCAGUAUAAUGGAAAUUGCGUUCUGACAUUACCAUGGAAACAGCCAUCUAGUCGAAUUCUCUCUCCCAUUUAUUUUGAGUCAAUUGAACUUUCGCUUCUAAUGAAAGAAGGUAUUUGAACAGGAAUAGAAAAUGUAAUAAUUUAAGUCCCAAAAGAGAUCAAGGGAGAUGAACUGAAAGGUGAUUUUUAUGAUAUUAUAUCCCAGUUGAUGGAUUAGCAGUCACACAGUGGAUUAUGUAACUCAAAGAUUAUAGAUAGAUCUUAUGUUAACACUGUUUUACCAUCUACAGAGACCAGUUCGUCAGCCAGCAGCUACAGCUCUGAGUUCAGCAGGAGACUUCUCAGCACCUACAUAUGUAAAGUGUUGGGGAACCGGCAGCUCAAUCUUCUCAGUAAAUCCAAGGUGUACGAGGACUCUGCUCUGAGUGCCAUCUUCCUCCACAACAACUACAGCUACAUCCUCAAGUCCCUGGAGAAGUCUGAGCUGAUCCAACUGGUGACGGUGACUCAGAAGAAGGCUGAAAGUUCCUACAGAGAGCUGAUCGAACAGCAGAUACUGAUGAACCAACACAGCUGGCACAAGGUCACAGAGCAUAUAAUGGACCGGUAUAUGCCUGCCUUCCUACCUGGAACCAAGCUGAAAGACAAAGAGUGUCAGGUGAUCAAAGACAAGUUUAAGGUACUCUGUGUUCCCCCUGAAGCGUUCCAGUGAAAGAACACGCACUCACACCCUGGACCGGAGGCUCUGAUGGGCUUAAUGAGGGCAGUGCCACUGAACUCCAGCAGUAGAAUACAUUGCCUGUCAAAUUAUUAUUUAAAAUCAUUUGGCCUGGCUUUGUAAUACUAUGUUCUCCAUUUAUCACUUUAACUUUGUUCUCAUGAUGUGGUAGCUGGCGACCCUCUAGUGUUGGUUCUGAGUGGGAAGGAACAGAACCUUCCCAGAAGACCCCAGUUACCCCUACACAUGUUGUGAAAUCACCAGAUGAGGUAACUACAGAUUUUAAUGGGAUUUAACCAAACAUUUUUCCUAUCCUUUAUACUGAGAGGUAGAGGUUUGCCUAUACAAAACGUCGGCAGAGAUUUUUCAACUAACUUUAUAUUGAUACUGUCUUCGUUCUAGUUUAGUGGAAACAGAAGUCUCAUUAAAUGUCUGUGUCCAGUUGCAGGGGGUCUGUUUGAAUUUAGAAAAUGCUCUGUUAUUAAAAUAAAUCAA